rnacentral:rRNA from 1 species
GACGAACGCUGGCGGCGUGCUUAACACAUGCAAGUCGAACGGAAAGGCCCUGCUUUUGUGGGGUGCUCGAGUGGCGAACGGGUGAGUAACACGUGAGUAACCUGCCCUUGACUUUGGGAUAACUUCAGGAAACUGGGGCUAAUACCGGAUAGGAGCUCCUGCUGCAUGGUGGGGGUUGGAGAGUUUCGGCGGUUGGGGAUGGACUCGCGGCUUAUCAGCUUGUUGGUGGGGUAGUGGCUUACCAAGGCUUUGACGGGUAGCCGGCCUGAGAGGGUGACCGGCAAAAUUGGGACUGAGAUACGGCCCAGACUCCUACGGGAGGAAGCAGUGGGGAAUAUUGCACAAUGGGCGGAAGCCUGAUGCAGCAACGCCGCGUGCGGGAUGACGGCCUUCGGGUUGUAACCCGCUUUCGCCUGUGACGAAGCGUGAGUGACGGUAAUGGGUAAAGAAGCACCGGCUAACUACGUG